UAUGUAUAACGGGUUUGGAGUCUGAAAAAACUCAAAAAGUAGUGUGUUGUCAUCGAGCUUCUUCUUUCGUAACAUUAACGAGACUGGAGUUAAAAAACAGCACAAGAUUU